rnacentral:tRNA from 1 species
UGACGAUUAGCUCAGAUGGUAGAGCAUACGCACUUUUAAUGCAUGAGGCGCAGGUUCGAGUCCUGCAUCGUCAG